AACGUAGGAGACAAACGUUAUCCGGAGUUACUGGGCGUAAAGGGCGUGCAGGCGGUCGACUAAGUCUGUUGUGAAAUCCCCGGGCUCAACCUGGGAAUGGCAAUGGAUACUGGCAGCUAGAGUGUGAUAGGAGGAUGGUGGAAGUUCCCGGUGUAGCGGUGAAAUGCGUAGAGAAUCGGGAGGAACAUCAGUGGCGAAAGGCGGCCAUCGUGGAUCAACACUGACGCUGAGGCACGAAAGCGUGGGGAGCAAACAGGA
rnacentral:rRNA from 1 species